rnacentral:lncRNA from 1 species
AGAGUCCACUUAAUGGAUGCCCGCGGAUGUUGGGUAGAAUGAUGGGGCCUGGGAAGUGACCGAAGCAGAGUGAAACCCACAUGCAGGAGACCGUCCUGGUGGACUGCAGCCGGUCUGGUCACCCUCGGAUUAAUAAGACGUACACCUUUGAAAGGUAAGCUUCUUCGGGAUGACGGGGCAGCCACGUCACGCAGAGGUCAGCUCUGCCUCGCGGUUCGAUGGCGAAAAGGUACAGCUUGCCCCGUUGGUCUAAGUGCGAAGGAAAGGCCCUUAGUUCCGUGGACGGAGCACUGUCUUUCCGCAAGUGUUGCUGGACGGCUGGCCGUCCACAGGCCACAGAGAAACGCGUCUUCACCCACGCAGCACACGCCUGUGGAAAGGUUGCCUGAGAUGGAAACUAGGCCCAGGUAGGACGCCUAAAACUGAAGCCUUUGGAAGACAACGUAGGAGGGAGGCUUUGUGGCCUUGGGUUAAGGGAGGAAUUCUUAGAAACGCCACCUAAAGCACGAUCCUUCAAAGAACUGAAAUUCAAACCUUCUG